ACCAUCUUCUACAGAUCAAAGUCACCCAUCGACAUGUUGACUCUUCUUCUAGUUUCGCUUGUCGCCUCUGUUUCGGCAUUAAACAAAGGAGGUCCAUUAUUAGGAGGACUUGUCAAUGGUGGAGUUAUCACAAGUGGUCCACUCCUUGGAGGUGUUGGAACUAUUGGUGGAUCUGGAGGAAUUGUCGGUGGUGGUGGACUUCUGUUAAAUGGUGGUGGUUUAGGAGGAUUGAUCGGAGGAUUAAAUACAGGUAUGUUCUAAAUGACCAGUUAUAUUAUCAAUAAGGAAAAGCCCGCAUCAAAAUAGUUCCGAACAAUAGCAUCAACAAAAUAUUUCAAUUUUGUAUUUAGGCCACACCAAUUUUAUUCCUUGUUCGAUGGACCCGACCACACCUAUUUUUUUCAAAACAGAAUUUUUUUAUUUUGUUUUAUAUUCCCGCUUCCCGCAUCCGGAAAUGUAAUCCCGAUUCCCGUAGCCGGAAAUGUAAUCAUGUCCAUUUCCCGCACCGUUUUUUUUUGUAAAUAUUAUCAAAAGAUAUCAACAUUUGUUUUUAAAAUCACAGUCUAACCUGUAACGAUUUUAAACAUAAAAGCACCCCACCAAAUUGUGUAAAUAUCUGUUAGAAUAUUUAUUUCAGCAUGAAACCUAUUUAUCCAAAGUGGGAAGUUUAUAAAUUUAUAACAGCGGAAAUACACUGCAAAGAACAAAAAUUGGUUUCUUUCCCCUUACUUAUAUUCCCUAUCAAAAAUUGAUCGUUGUUAAAAUAGAGUACAAAGAACUUCUGAAGGAUUCGCCUUCAACUGCAAUUAUAUUGUAUGCUGACGAAACAAAACUUUCUACAGCCGCUGCAUGUUUUAUAUGAACUUGUCCUGAUUGAUUCAGGGCCUGUCGUUCAGCAGUUAUCGUUUGUUGAUGUUGUUCAUUGGUAUUUUCCCGUUUGAAUAUAUAAAUUAGAUCGUUGGUUUUCCUGUUCGAAUUGUGUAUGCUAAUAAUUUUGGGGUCCUUUAUAGCUUGCUGUUUGGUCUGUAUCAAAGCUCUGUGUUGAAGGCCGUACUUUGAACUGUGUUAUUAUCAGGUUGAGAACAACCCUCCCUCAGACAAGGGGUCAUUUUACUGAUGUAAAAACGAAAAUAGAAAUACAAAGGAUUUGUAUAGUUCUUCUAUACUAAACCUUUGAAAACUUAGAAUUUUGCAGAGUUACAUCAUAUUUUAUAAAUUGUUUUCUAAAAGAGGGUCCACUUAUUUUGAAUAAUAUUACACUGGUAAAGUAAAUGUGUUAUUUAACAUGGCUAAAGUCCAGGAAUAUUACAAAAUUCUUGGACAUGUUUUGACCAUUUAAUACCAUGCAGAUAGAUACAUAGUUCUUUGAGAAAAUAUGAGUUCUUUUGUACAAACAAAUAUAUUAUAACUUAUAUUGAUUCCUCAUAAAACAUGUAAAAGGGAUAUUUAUAACAUUAAGGGGUUGCUCCCAAACUGAUUAUGACUCGGAUGUAGAAUUGUCUAAUUGUCAGUCACACAUACAUAGACCAGAUUUAAUUAUUUCUUGGUGAACAAGGAAAAAUACUUCAGAAAUUAAAGAAAUGUCAAAGUACAAGUGAUAAAUCAAGUUUUAAUAUUGUCAAAACCUACCUAUUUAUGUUUACAAAACAAAAGUAUAAUCGCUCGCCUUUACUUUUCAAGCUUCGCCUCAAAAAUAUUACAAUUAAAUAUUUUUUAUUAAAAUUUUCAAAUCGCUCGCUCGUCCCAAAUUUUGGAGUCCAAAAAUCCGUAGAACAAGAAAUUAAAUUGGUGUGGCCUUACAUAAGUUCUAAUUUCAUGCAAUUUUCUUCAAAAUAAUUUACAAAAUAUUUCAAUUAUUGAAACCGUUCGAUAAUAUUAAGUUGCUAAAUGUUGUGUCAUUUGAUCCUUAGCGAGUUAACUCAUUGCCAAUUACACCACAUAUUCUUUUUUUAUAUUCAUAUGUCUGCAUUGGUGAUUAUUCCAGCUCAUUUAUUAAAUAUGUUCUUCAUCCAAUAUCACAUCUUGAUGUUAAUACAUUUUGUUUAAAUUACAGGACUUGUCGGAGGAGGUCAACCAUGGUGCACAUGUAGUUUGAAAUGUGCACCAGGACAGAUUAAACUCAGCAAGAACUGCAACUUGGCACCUCUCCUGCCAGGUAGUUUGAAUACUUGUUGUUCUGUAUUGCCAUGGUGGGUAACCAACCAAAAUUACGGUGCUUCCAUUGGAGGAGCUGGUAUUAUUGGCGGCGGAGGUAUUAUUGGUAGUGUCGGUGGUCUUGUUGGAGGUGGUAGUGGACUUCUUGGUCCAAUCGGUGGUAUUGGUGGUGUUGUCACAGGACCAGUCAGUGUCAUUGGAGGUGGCAGCAAUGUUGUCAGCGGACGAAUUCGUAAAGGAGGAUAUUAUUAAGUAUAUAAAAUGUAAGUUGGUUUUUUUAUAUCUGUUUUCGAUGACAUUUCCUCUUUAACUGUUAAUAGAGUAAAUCAUCAACAAUCAGAUUCACUACGAUCAACGUAUUUGUCUAGUCAUGUUUCAGUUUUGAAAGUACGAAAAAUAGAGGAAUUAGAUUGUUGUUUAAAAUUCCGUACACUCUUUGUUUUCCCCUUUAAAACAAAAUAGUAGUAUUUGUGAACUUCCAAGUUUAGUAUAUGUCUUUUAUGAAACCAGAUGUAAAAUGGGAACAGUUAAACAUUUCUUUUAUACUGUAUACUGUUUUCCAGUACACAUUUUGUGGGAGAAAUCCUGAGCAAUCCAUAUUAUGUUUUAUCAAUAUAGAGAUAAUCAGGUGGUGUUUUUCCCUUAAAGUGGUAUCUACACUACAUGGAGAUAACUCCGUAAAAUCAGCUUAACGUUUAAAUAACGUUGUGUUGUUAAGGGACUAUUAAGCUUCUCAAUGAUCAGAAUAUGGGUUUGUCAAACUGCGAUAUAACCAGUGUGAUUUUUCUGAUAAAAUGGUUGGUUCAAAUUUUUUUAAUUUUUUAUUUGGUCAAAGGGUCAAAGUAAAUGCUUUGUCAAAAUGUUAUGAAAAUUAAACGAGCCAAAUUAAUUUUAGUUAAAGUGUUGGGUACCACCUUAAAUCGAUCAGGAAAUUAAUAUAUUGAAAUUAUGUGAUUUGUGUUGUGUUACAGGUGACAAAUUAGCAAAUGACCAGUACUGCAUUAUUGUUACGUUUACUUUUGUGAUGGAUAUAUACUAACACAUUUAAGAUAUAUGACCUACUUAAAUUAUCAUUGGUAGAAGCAUGGUAACAUUUUUUUCUAUCAUAUCCGCAUGAUCUGGACUAACAUAUUUACAUACGUUAAUUCUUAUUCAGCAGGAAUAAAAUCGUUUACAAAUAAUAAGAGUUUAAACUUAACAAAUCAGAUAAAAUGCUAAAGAAAAUAAAAACAAACACAUGUGUUGUGUCUCAAAUAAGAGUUGAUAUAACUGUGUAUCUGAAGCAUUAAAAAAAUGGUACCUUGAUUGUUUUACUCAUAUUUUAAUUGAUGUCUUUUUCUCUUUGUAGUUGACAGUGAUACGACACAGACAUGAA
rnacentral:lncRNA from 1 species